CCUACGGGCGGCAGCAGUGGGGAAUAUUGGACAAUGGGGGAAACCCUGAUCCAGCGACGCCGCGUGAGUGAAGAAGUAUUUCGGUACGUAAAGCUCUAUCAGCAGGAAAGAAAAUGACGGUCCCUGACUCAGAAGCCCCUGCUAACUAAGUGCCCGCAGCCGCGGUAAUACGUAGGGGGCAAGCUUUAUCCGGAUUUACUGGGUGUAAAGGGAGCGUAGGCGGCUGCGCAAGUCUGGAGUGAAAUGCCGGGGCCCAACCCCGGAACUGCUCUGGAAACUGGGAAGCUGGAGUGCAGGAGAGGUAAGCGGAAUUCGUGGUGUAGCGGUGAAAUGCGUAGAUAUCAGGAGGAACACCGGCGGCGAAGGCGGCUUGCUGGACUGUAACUGACGUUGAGGCACGAAGGCGUGGAGAGCAAACAGGAUUAGAUACCCUGGUAGUC
rnacentral:rRNA from 1 species